rnacentral:tRNA from 1 species
GACUAGAUAAGCUAAACUAAAGCUAGUGGGCUCAUAACCCAAAAAUGAUACUCUCUCUUGUCA